rnacentral:rRNA from 1 species
CCGGUUGAUCCUGCCGGAGGUUAUUGCUAUCCGGAUUCGACUAAGCCAUGCAAGUCUUGAUGUUCAUUUAUGGACAUUAGGGCAGAAAGCUCAGUAACAUGUAGUUAAUAUGCCCUCAAGUCAGGGAUAAUCUCGGGAAACUGAGGCUAAUACCUGAUAGAUAAGAAAUACUGGAAUGUUUUCUUUUCAAAAGCUUUUGUGCUUGAGGAUUGGACUGCACCGGAUUAGGUUGUUGUUAGGGUAACGUCCUGGCAAGCCGAUAAUCCGUACGAGCCUUGAGAGAGGAAGCUCGGAGAUGGAUUCUGAGACAAGAAUCCAGGCCCUACGGGGCGCAGCAGGCGCGAAACUUUCCCAAUGCACGCAAGUGUGAGGAAGGGAUCUGGAGUGCAUUCUCUUACAUAGGGGAUGCUUUUGUGGAGUGUAAACAGCUCCAAGAAUAAGUGGUGGGUAAGACGGGUGCCAGCCGCCGCGGUAAUACCCGCGCCACGAGUGAUAACCACGUUUAUUGGGCUUAAAGCGUUCGUAGCCGGUCCAGAAAGUCCUUAGUGAAAUCCCGCAGCUAACUGUGGGGCUUGCUAGGGAAACUAUUGGACUUGGGACCGGGAGAGGUCUGGGGUACUCAAAGGGUAGGGGUAAAAUCCUGUAAUCCCUUGGGGACCACCUGUGGCGAAGGCGCCAGACCAGAACGGAUCCGACGGUGAGGGACGAAAGCCAGGGGAGCAAAGGGGAUUAGAUACCCCCGUAGUCCUGGCUGUAAACGAUGCCCACUAGACAUUGGCAAUCUUACGUGGGUUGUCAGUGUCGUAGCGAAAGCGUUAAGUGGGCCGCCUGGGGAGUACGGUCGCAAGGCUGAAACUUAAGGGAAUUGGCGGGGGAGCACACAAGGGGUGGAGGCUGCGGUUUAAUUGGAUUCAACGCCGGAAAUCUCU